GGCAGCCUUAUACAUGCAAGUCGAGCGGACAGAUGGGAGCUUGCUCCCUGAUGUUAGCGGCGGACGGGUGAGUAACACGUGGGUAACCUGCCUGUAAGACUGGGAUAACUCCGGGAAACCGGGGCUAAUACCGGAUGGUUGUUUGAACCGCAUGGUUCAAACAUAAAAGGUGGCUUCGGCUACCACUUACAGAUGGACCCGCGGCGCAUUAGCUAGUUGGUGAGGUAAUGGCUCACCAAGGCAACGAUGCGUAGCCGACCUGAGAGGGUGAUCGGCCACACUGGGACUGAGACACGGCCCAGACUCCUACGGGAGGCAGCAGUAGGGAAUCUUCCGCAAUGGACGAAAGUCUGACGGAGCAACGCCGCGUGAGUGAUGAAGGUUUUCGGAUCGUAAAGCUCUGUUGUUAGGGAAGAACAAGUACCGUUCGAAUAGGGCGGUACCUUGACGGUACCUAACCAGAAAGCCACGGCUAACUACGUGCCAGCAGCCGCGGUAAUACGUAGGUGGCAAGCGUUGUCCGGAAUUAUUGGGCGUAAAGGGCUCGCAGGCGGUUUCUUAAGUCUGAUGUGAAAGCCCCCGGCUCAACCGGGGAGGGUCAUUGGAAACUGGGGAACUUGAGUGCAGAAGAGGAGAGUGGAAUUCCACGUGUAGCGGUGAAAUGCGUAGAGAUGUGGAGGAACACCAGUGGCGAAGGCGACUCUCUGGUCUGUAACUGACGCUGAGGAGCGAAAGCGUGGGGAGCGAACAGGAUUAGAUACCCUGGUAGUCCACGCCGUAAACGAUGAGUGCUAAGUGUUAGGGGGUUUCCGCCCCUUAGUGCUGCAGCUAACGCAUUAAGCACUCCGCCUGGGGAGUACGGUCGCAAGACUGAAACUCAAAGGAAUUGACGGGGGCCCGCACAAGCGGUGGAGCAUGUGGUUUAAUUCAAAGCACGCAAAGAACCUUAAAGUCUUGAAUCCUCUGACAUCCUAGAGAUAGGACGUCCCUUCGGGGCAA
rnacentral:rRNA from 1 species